CGUUUCCUUGCUGGAGAGAGGCCGCCGCGUGCAGCGUGCUGCAAUGCAGGCGGCCCACCGAAGGAGCAAACCCCGUGACGCCACGGGGCGAAUCUCUCAGGUAAAGCGGACAGCAGGGCUCAC
rnacentral:ncRNA from 2 species